rnacentral:rRNA from 1 species
UACGUAGGGUGCAAGCGUUGUCCGGAAUUAUUGGGCGUAAAGAGCUCGUAGGCGGUCUGUCACGUCGGCUGUGAAAUCCCGAGGCUCAACCUCGGGUCUGCAGUCGAUACGGGCAAACUAGAGUAUUGCAGGGGAGACUGGAAUUCCUGGUGUAGCGGUGAAAUGCGCAGAUAUCAGGAGGAACACCGGUGGCGAAGGCGGGUCUCUGGGCAAUAACUGACGCUGAGGCGCGAAAGCUAGGGGAGCAAACGGG